GGGGAUUUAGCUCAGCGGCAUAAGCACCUGCCUUGCAAGCAGGCGGUUGUGAGUUCAAUGCCCG
rfam:Cavia porcellus supercont2_23 genomic scaffold, whole genome shotgun sequence.